UGAGAAGUUCAUUAUACCUUAUCAUUUAGAGGAAGGAGAAGUCUUAACAAGGUUUCCGUAGGUGAACCUGCGGAAGGAUCAUUG
rnacentral:rRNA from 1 species